CGUAAUCGUAAGCGUAAACGUAAUUGUGCGGAUGCUCGUCGCGAUUUGCUUGGCGCCCUGACAAGAAUUCAUUAUAUUAGCGAAAUUGGGACAAUAGUAUUAGUGAAAUAUUUAUUUGAAACAAUUCGAAUAAUUUCGAACUCUGCCUCGAGCUCGCUAGGCUGGGCGGUUCAUAGCCCCAAAUCUCGGGCCACGAAGUGCGCAAGAUGGGGAUACAUAGUUGUGGAGGCCUUCUCAGUCUAGUUGUUUUGUUAUCGCAACGGCGCAAGUUAACGAUCUGUGCAGGAUGAGGAUGGUGGUGCGAUUUCGCUUGGACAUGAAAGUAUGCGCGAGUGUCUUCAGUCAACUACAGUAGACAGCCUACAAUUGUUGUUUCAAGGCAUUCGCAAAUACGUUGGAUUGUGCGGUCGAGAAUCAUACGGGGCGG